rnacentral:rRNA from 1 species
UCCGGUUGAUCCUGCCGGAGGCCAUUGCUAUCGGAGUUCGAUUUAGCCAUGCUAGUCGCACGGGUUUAGACCCGUGGCAGAUAGCUCAGUGACACGUGGCCAAACUACCCUAUGGAUCAGAACAACCUCGGGAAACUGAGGCUAAUUCUGAAUAAGGCUCUCUGCCUGGAAUGGCUUGAGCUGGAAACGCUACGGCGCCAUAGGAUGUGGCUGCGGCCGAUUAGGUAGACGGUGAGGUAACGGCUCACCGUGCCCAUAAUCGGUACGGGUUGUGAGAGCAAGAGCCCGGAGACGGUAUCUGAGACAAGAUACCGGGCCCUACGGGGCGCAGCAGGCGCGAAAACUUUACACUGCACGACAGUGCGAUAAGGGAACUCCGAGUGCGAGGGCAUAUCGUCCUCGCUUUUCUGUACCGUAGGGAGGUACAGGAACAAGUGCUGGGCAAGACCGGUGCCAGCCGCCGCGGUAAUACCGGCAGCACGAGUGAUGGCCGAUAUUAUUGGGCCUAAAGCGUCCGUAGCCGGCCAAACAAGUCCGUUGGGAAAUCGACGCGCUCAACGCGUCGGCGUCCGGCGGAAACUGUUUGGCUUGGGGCCAGAAGAUCUGAGGGGUACGUCCGGGGUAGGAGUGAAAUCCUGUAAUCCUGGACGGACCACCGGUGGCGAAAGCGCCUCAGAAAGAUGGACCCGACGGUGAGGGACGAAAGCUAGGGUCUCGAACCGGAUUAGAUACCCGGGUAGUCCUAGCUGUA